CUACAACCUAUACAAGGUUUUUUGGUGUCCAAGUUACUCUAGUGGAAUCUAGACAAUUCUAAUUUUUUAUUAUACUUGCUUACCAAGGAAUUCUAGGAUAUUCUAGGCAAGUAAUUCUAGAUUCUUCUAGAAAUGAGCAUCAUUAAAUUUAUCAUUUUGGAAUGGCAGAGAGAGAUGAAUACAGGGUGGAUUUGUUCAACAAGUAGGUGAACCCUGCCUUUUGCCCUUUCAUACAAUUCUUCGUAACAGUGAUGUAUUGGCUAUUGGUCGUCUAAUGUUAAUUCAGAGCUUGAAACUAAUUAAUACUUUCUAUCCUGCGAGCUUAACUUGAUGAAAGAUGGAAACUUAAAAGGCUUGAUAGUUGCUGACUACAACUAUAUUGUGUUAUGCAAUAUGCAUUAUUGAUGCCUGCAACUUUGUGCAAGUGUUCCUCCAGUAUUUAUUUGACGACGGGUUUUUAAUCCAGGCUUACGCACGCCUGUUUCAACAACUGCAUUGAGAACAAGUAUGCAUCCCGAACCUCAUUUUAGUGAAAUUACUCAUUUAAGCAUAAAUAUGAAAUACCAAGUUCUAGAAAUCUGGUAGUUUAGUACAUUUUCUCCAUCAGAAUAAUGAUAUUUAUAUUCAGUUGGGUGCUUGAAGGGAUUGUACUUCAUAAAUAUUCAGGUACAAGGAAUCCGAGUUAAAUAUGGGUGAAAAUAGUUGCAUUGACCGUUCCAUGUCAAAAUAUUGGCAGCUGAAUUGAUGACUUCUGUUCUUAAGAUUUAUUCUUGUUUUCUUUUUGAACUCGUGUGAAUGCAUGUGCUUCAAUGGUUGCAAAAUGUCAUUAUUUGAAUUUACUGCUGCUAUACAUAUUUGAGCAAGUCCUUUUGUAUCUGUUGUUACUGCAUAGUAGGAGAAUGAGAACAAAACUAAUGUUAAUUUCAUGAUACGUCUAUGACUCGCAACACAUUAGAGUAGUCGAUUUAUUUGCAUAGAUGCGAUGGAAUUUAGUUGUCACUUUCUGGAAGUUUCAAUGGGUCCCUAUUGUUUGUGAGACAAGAACAACAAACAGAAAAAAUGUAUUCUUGGUGCUAAUUUUGAUGGCACAUUUUUCUGAGGAUUUCACGAUGAAAGAGUAGAUUUAGUUAAGAGAGGAGGGAAUGUAUAAGUUUUUCAUUGUACUCUCUUCCUCAUUGUUUUUCCUUUGUAUAAGCGUAGUUUUUUUUUUUUUUUUUUGCAUUGGAUUGUAUUGGCUGAUAAGCCUCUUAACCUGCACAUCUAUUGCCAAUUCAUGACUUUGUCAGCAUUACAGGUUCAUUGUUUGGCUAAACUUAAAGAUUUGCUCAUUAGUAAAUAAGUUAGUUUUAAAAUAAUUUUUUCUAUUGGUCAUAGUUGAAAAUGAAUAAAUUACUAAUCUGAAUUAAGUUAACCAUGCCAUAGGAUCAAAGUAAGUAACAGAAUAGUAACUAUCAACAAAAAAGUUACUUAUAAGUAUUCUUAACUAUCGACCUUAGCAACAUCUUGAAGAACUUAUUUCGUGCUUGUUUGAUAAAGAUUUUUUGUGAAAUGAUUCUUUGAUAAGUUUGUAUUUUUUUUUUAAUGGGUGGUUAAAAAGCAUAGAAACGUUAUGGGAAUUAUGAAAAAUAAAUUUUUUGGGGGAAAUUUUGGUUGAAAAUGAGUGUCUGUGAUAAGUGUUUCUUAAAGCAUCAAAAUCUCAUCUCGCAAUUAUAUUUUCAAAUUUUUUAAACGAGUGAUGUGGAAGAAAUGAACAAUGAGGUUCUUGACUGUAACUUAAAAGAAAAGGAGAUUGCACAAAUUGGAGGUGGGAAAUUGCCCAGAUGUAUGUCACUAUUCUUGUGCCAGGUUUGGAUUAGAUUGCAAAGAAUUUGUUGCAGUCUGAGCUGAAAAAGAGGUACAGUGAAUCUUCUGAGAAGCCCCGAAGGCACUUGAAUAUUUCCAUUUAGUUAGUUAAAGUAGGGGGAGGAGUAUUAUAGGAUUUGGUAGAAUAAAUUUUAUAGGAUUCUAACUAUGAACGGGGGGGUUAAGGUGUUCAUUUCAUUUAUGCAGAACAGAAAUUGGGUGUCAAAUUGAGAGAGAAUGGGCCUCUAGGUAACUCAUCAAACUAUUGUAAUUCCACUUUGUCCUUUCAUUCAGUAAUGCAAAUCCGGGUUCCUAUCACCUUCCUUGGGGAGUGGGUCAUCUUCGGAGGUGGAAAAUUGGGUGGAAUAGGCAUAAAUAGGUGAGGGCGAAUGGGUGAUAUAUAAAAAGUUACCUACACACGUCAAUCCAUUUGUUAAAUGGGUCACAGGGUCAGAGCUGGUUUAACCAUUAGGAAGGUGAGUAGUUGCCUAAGACCCCUAUUUAUAGAGGGCCCAUAAAUUUUAAUAAGAAAAUCAGUUGUUAAGAUUCUUUUACUUCUUUUACUCAGGACAUAACAUUCAAAAUAAUUAGACACAAAUGUUUGCAAUUGAAGUCAAAAAGUACAAAAAUUUGAAGAAAUCUGAUAAUGAAAAAUAUUUCUCCAGUAUACAGUACUCCAAACCAAAGGCACCAAGAACAAAUGCCUUUUACAUUAGGCUGUAUGGAUAUUUCAACAAAUUCAUUAAGAAUUAAAUAAUACUUUUCAGGAUUUUUAGAAGUAGAUGAAACUUCAGGAAAAAGGCCUCUUUAGUGAACUUACAAGUAAAAUUCCAAAUCUAAAACCUGAUAAUAAUUAUGCAAGAGAACAAGGAUAUGAUAACGGUUCUAACAUGAAAGAAAUCAAGAAGGCAUACGAAAAGGAUUAUUGCAGAUUAAUCGUCAAGUGCUUGUAGUUUUGAAUCAUUACUCUUGUAUGUUGUUUUCUUGUGUUAGAACUUUUCGAGUUGUUCAACCCCUGUUUGGUACGAAUUAAAAUAACAUUUUUAGUAAAUUUUGAUAAAGUUAAUGAAGCUGUUGAAAAGUUGUGGAUUCCAUGAUAUAUGUGGUUAAAACUAAUUGUUGAAUUUGAUCUAGAUUAAAAUCUAAAUUUUAAUCUCUGCCAAACAAGGAUUUAAUAUUUAAUAGUCUUUUCUAAACCUAAAUGAUGGAACAUAUUGAAGUCACAUAUCAAAUUUAAGCCUCUGUUUGGGAAGAAUUUAUAAUCUGUUUAAUUUAUAAAUAGAUAUAAAUGAGUUGUGGAUAAAUGCAUAUAUUUUUGGGUCUAUUGAAAUAUGUAAUUGAAAAUGAUGUUUGAUUAAUUGAUUAUGUACAAAUGAUUUAUAAAUUUUGCCAAGCAGAGGCUUAGGUUAAUAGUUAAAUUGUUGUCACAAACUCAUGGAGAAAGUUGUACCAGAAGUAUCUGUAUUGAGAAGUAGGUUUUUCCUUUGCAAUCAUGAAAUUUGAAAUCCAAGAAGAAUAUUGGAUCUUGGUUUAGGUAAUGUGAAGGUCUUUCCCCUUGGUGGUUCAAAAUUCCCUCCUUGUGAACUAAUGUUUGAAGAAUAACGUUUUAGUCAUGGCAAUUGAUCCAAUUGAAAUGAUCUCUCUGAAAUAAGUAUCACCUCUACCCUAUUCCCUUGAAUAUGCAUUUAAAUAUGGUUAUAUUGUUCAACGAGAUGAACUCUUUCCCCAUGGUACAUCCUAACCGAGCUAACACCAUAUAGGUUCCUCCGGCAAGCUUGAAAGGACCCAUUUCUCUGAUGUGUAUCUUUUGAUGACAUCUGACUUUAUGUUUUGUUUCUUAAUGACAUUAAGACCUUUGAAACUUGUUUAUGUCCGAAGUGCUGAAACAUGGUGUCUCCAAAGUACGUAAAAGCCUUAAAAUGCAUAGAAAUAGGACAUUUAUUGAGCUUCUUGAAUGUUAGACUGGUUUGGUAAUCCCGGUGAGUUAUUUGACCCAAUCUACUUGUGUCGUGUACUCGAAUCCUCGUCUGUCAGUGCCUUAUAAAUCUCUUAUUGACUGCUGUUGAAAUGCCCUCUACAGGUAACUAAUCUAGUCGAUCAGUUGCUGGGGAAUAAUCGGCCACCAAUGUGAAGGAGAUAAUUUUGCACCGAACAUGGCUGAUAAUGGACCAAGAACCUCAAUAUGAGAAAAUGGGAAAUAGAAGAUGACAGUUAUUACUCUUCAGAAGUAGAACUAUCCGUUUACAUGCCCUGGCACUCUAAUAUUCUGGUUAUAUUUAGGAUAUGUUUAAUUGUAAGUAUGAAACUUGCGUGGAAAGCAAAUAAGUUAUAGACAAAUGGAAAUUGUCAAUUAAAUGUGUUUGAUUAGCUUAAUUUUAACAUAAAAAUUAUUGUACUUUCCUAUGUAGUUGAGUUUUUAGAAAGUGUGAAUUGUCUAGAAAAUAAAAACUUGCCUCC
rnacentral:lncRNA from 1 species